rnacentral:tRNA from 1 species
GCGUUUAGCUCAGCUGGUUCAGAGCAUCUGCCUUACAAGCAGAGGGUCGGCGGUUCGAAUCCGUCAACGCCCACACCA